AUUGAACGCUGGCGGCAGGCCUAACACAUGCAAGUCGAACGAGUGGCGGACGGGUGAGUAAUGUCUGGGAAACUGCCUGAUGGAGGGGGAUAACUACUGGAAACGGUAGCUAAUACCGCAUACCAUCGGAUGUGCCCAGAUGGGAUUAGCUAGUAGGUGGGGUAAAGGCUCACCUAGGCGACGAUCCCUAGCUGGUCUGAGAGGAUGACCAGCCACACUGGAACUGAGACACGGCCCAGACUCCUACGGGAGGCAGCAGUAGGGAAGAUUGGGCAAUGGGCGAAAGCCUGAUGGAGCCAUGCCGCGUGUAUGAAGAAGGCGUUCGGGUUGUAAAGUACUGUCAGCGGAGAGGCGUUACCCGCAGAGGAAGCACCGGCUAACUCCGUGCCAGCAGCCGCGGUAAUAC
rnacentral:rRNA from 1 species